AUUCUAGAAAGAAGUGGUUGGGAUGCCUACAGUUUCUGUGUCUAUACUGUUUUCUGUCCUCCAGACUGCACCUCCAGCUUCUAUUUUCAGUCUACUAAAGAAGAAAAGACAAGGGCCUGUUUUGUAGAUCACGCUGCAUAAAAAGAUCAAUGUGACAAAGAGUCUGUAAUGGUUGGAAAGGAGGAGAGUCUGGCAGAAACAGUAAGAAAGCUAUGGACCUGAUCUAUGUAUUUAAAAAUGUUGCUAGAAAAGGAACGUAAACUCACCUAAAAUGCACUUGGACCUCAUCAUGUAUGCAGAAAAUUGGGCCAUUUUCUUUUUCUGCUGAAUUGAGGAAAAACUCCAAGAACUACUCAAAGAAGGUGUUUAGAUGCAUCUAAAAUUAUU